rnacentral:siRNA from 1 species
GACGCGGAUUACGGUGGCG